rnacentral:rRNA from 1 species
AAUAGAUACCCUGGUAGUCCACGCCGUAAACGAUGAGUGCUAAGUGUUGGGGGGUUUCCGCCCCUCAGUGCUGCAGCUAACGCAUUAAGCACUCCGCCUGGGGAGUACGGUCGCAAGACUGAAACUCAAAGGAAUUGACGGGGGCCCGCACAAGCGGUGGAGCAUGUGGUUUAAUUCGAAGCAACGCGAAGAACCUUACCAGGUCUUGACAUCCCGGUGACCACUAUGGAGACAUAGUUUCCCCUUCGGGGGCAACGGUGACAGGUGGUGCAUGGUUGUCGUCAGCUCGUGUCGUGAGAUGUUGGGUUAAGUCCCGCAACGAGCGCAACCCUUAUUCUUAGUUGCCAUCAUUCAGUUGGGCACUCUAAGGAGACUGCCGGUGAUAAACCGGAGGAAGGUGGGGAUGACGUCAAAUCAUCAUGCCCCUUAUGACCUGGGCUACACACGUGCUACAAUGGACGGUACAAACGGUUGCCAACCCGCGAGGGGGAGCUAAUCCGAUAAACCGUUCUCAGUUCGGAUUGUAGGCUGCAACUCGCCUAC